UACGGAGGAUCCAAGCGUUAUCCGGAAUCAUUGGGUUUAAAGGGUCCGUAGGCGGUUUAAUAAGUCAGUGGUGAAAGCCCAUCGCUCAACGGUGGAACGGCCAUUGAUACUGUUAGACUUGAAUUAUUAGGAAGUAACUAGAAUAUGUAGUGUAGCGGUGAAAUGCUUAGAGAUUACAUGGAAUACCAAUUGCGAAGGCAAGUUACUACUAAUGGAUUGACGCUGAUGGACGAAAGCGUGGGUAGCGAACAGG
rnacentral:rRNA from 1 species